rnacentral:rRNA from 1 species
AUUGAACUCUGGAGGCAGGCUUAACACAUGCAAGUCGAGCGAGCGGCGGACGGGUGAGUAAUGUCUGGGAAACUGCCUGAUGGAGGGGGAUACCUACUGGAAACGGUAGCUAAUACCGCAUACCAUCUGAUGUGCCCAGAUCGGAUUAGCGAGUAGGUGGGGUAAUGGCUCACCUAGGCGACGAUCCCUAGCUGGUCUGAGAGGAUGACCAGCCACACUGGAACUGAGACACGGUCCAGACUCAUACGGGAGGCAGCAGUGGGGAAUAUUGCACAAUGGGCGCAAGCCUGAUGCAGCCAUGCCGCGUGAGUGAAGAAGGCCUUCGGGUUGUAAAGAACUUUAAGCGAGGAGGAGUUAGUCGCAGAAGAAGCACCGGAUAACUCCGUGCCAGAAGCCGCGGUAAUAA